AUUAUAAUACUUGGUUGCUUAACCGUCAACAGCUUGACGAUUGGCUUUUUGGGACACAUUUCCCAACACUACUAGAAGAAGAACCCCUGGAAGACAUCUAGAAUCACACGAAGACCACUUACAGAGGUGAAAUCCCUAAAAAUCGGAAAAAAUCACGAACAAAGUCCCGGGGGACUGAUGCUCAGAACAAGAGGAAGAAAGAUCGAACGGCAAAAGGAAGAGCAAAAAGGGGAAGGAGUUUCGAGACUAACCUAGGCGACUCGGAGAAGUACAAAAGCGCGGAAAUGGGGAUGGCUCGUGGAAUGCCUAAAGCGGGGAAGAGCGCCGAGAAAAAUUGAAGUUCUCAGGAAGAAGAAGGGUGCCAGAACGAGACCGUCGAAUAGAGCGGGACUCUUGGAGGAGGAGUGCGGGUUUAAAUAG
rnacentral:lncRNA from 1 species